UAUAAAUUAACUCUGCUGUUGCAUUGCUGGAAGCUUUAACUUGCUGCCUUUUCCUGCUUUUCAGAUGCAGCAGCAACAGCAGCAGCAGCAGCUGCAGCGAAUUGCUCAAAUGCAGCAGCUGCAGGCAGCACAGGUCAUGCAGGCACAGCAGCAGCAGCAACAGCAGCAGCAGAUACCACAGCAACAGAUACAGCAGCAGGCACCUCAGCAAGUCAUGCAACAGCAGAUGCAACAGAUGCAGCAGCAACAGCAGCAGCAGCAGCAACAACAGCAGCAGGUUGCUCAGGCACAGCAGCCUCAGCUCCCACCACAGUCCCAGCCUCAGCCCCAGCCCAUGGUGUCUCAGCCUCAGGCAAUCUCAGGACAAAUCCCCAGCCAGGUUAUGCCUGUCACUCUCACACCACAGCAGUUAAAAGCUAUGCAGGUGAGAGCGCAGCUGGUGCAGCAGCAGCAGCAGCAGGCAGCAGCAGCAGCAGUGCAGGCAGCUCAGGCCCAGGCUGCUCAGAUGGGAGCCUCAGGGCAGGUAAGGGCCCCGUGUCACAGCUGCCAGCCUGGGCCAGGUGCAUGCUGGAGAUGAGCAUGGAGUGGGGUUCUGGUGGUUCCUGGUGAGGGUCUGACACUGCUCAUCCCCUCCAUGAAGGGGGUGUGGGUUCCUCUGCUGUUUCUCCUUUGCCUGGAGUCAGAGGCAGGAUUUCAUUGCCAACCUCUCUGUGCAUGCUCUCUGUCCCCAGUAGGUUCCAGUGUUGCCUGUACUGACACAGGAAUGCACAGAUGGUCUCCUGUGGGCACACUACAAGUCUGACUGUUGGUACCUGGAGUGUAUCACCUCUUCUUUCAUUAGACUCUCCUAGGUGACUGCUUUGUUGUGUAAACUGAUUUCUGUACUGUGAAUCCUUGCCUGCUCUCUUUAAUCACAUGUGAUUUACCUUCCAUCUUCAUGUAUUGACUAGAAAAAAAUAGUAUAGAUGAUGAAAUCUCUCUGCACUCCCCCUUCAGUCCUUUCACCUUUCAUUUUCUUCUGAGUGAGAUGGGCAGUAGAUCUAGAUGCUCUUGUUCUGGGUGUGAAUUGUGAAGAACAAAUGGUGUGUGUCACAAGUGCAGAGUUACAUGGAAAAAAGAAAAGUGCUGGGUGAAAGCUUGUUGUCUAACAUGGUUUUUCUAUCCUGCAAUACACCUGCAGCCCCAGUGGUUGUUUCUUGAUGUGUGUUUGGUGUGAAGGAGACAUGGGGAAAAAAUGGGGAAUGGCUUGAGCUGAGCCUCUAUCCCAUUUUCCACAAGAAUAUGGAAAUCUUGUGUGGCUUACCUGUGUAGUGAUUCAUAUUGAGGCAUUUACAGACAAGGGUAAGUACAAAUAUCACCAUUGUGUAGAUGAAGAGAGGCAGACAGAUGAAAUGAGGCUGACUGGGACUAAUGGCAGAAUUCUUUAUGCAUACCCAGCCAUUCCAUGGUUUUCAAGCACCAUUUCCAUUCAGUGCACAAGUAAAUUUGUAGAUUCAGUAAGAAGCUUUUUAUGUGGGCUGUGAUUCUCCAGUGAACACCUCCCAGGCUUGUACCAUGGUGACUCUCAGCUGGCCACAUCCUUGCUGGUGUGACCACUUUCUGUUUCUGAGUUUCUGCUUUGGCUUGUGUCAGUGUAACACAGGACAGUGGUAAGUACAGCUGAGACAGUGCUGGCAGCAAUGCAGAAUUCUCUUCCUACAGCUGAAAUGUGAAUUAAAACUUGUUUGUUUCUUAAAUAAUUUCCAGGUGGGAGCUGCAGGGACUUAGGCUGACUGGAAGGAGACACUGACUUUAUUUUCUUGUUCCUAACUCUAGUGGUGCUCUUUUCAACUCUGAACAGAUGGAUUGUGUUUAUGUAGAGUCAGCUGAAUUCCUGCCCCUUUAGUGGCUUCAUGUGCCAGUGGCUUAACAGCACAGUGCAUUUGGAAAGCUUUGGGUGAUGAUGACAUGGUUGGCAGCCAGUUUUGUAUUGCAGCUUUAUCCAGUCCUGUGUGGGGAUUGCUCUUUCUCUGCCACAUGUGGAGUUUGGGAUAUUCCACACACAGGUUUUACUCCACUGAUGUUUAUGCCAGUGCAAGAUGAGUCUGCUGAAAUUCACCUACCACUAUAAAGUCCAAUAACUAAAUGGGUUUCUUGUACUUGUAUAAAUAUUUUCUCCAUAUAACAGGUUUAAGGUUGUGGCUGUAUAUAAUAUUACAAUGCAGCUUCAGUGUUGAGAGUAAGAAUUUCCUUUAUAAGAAGAUUCCUUUAAGGCUAGAUUUUUGCUUUCUAUUUAGUACAUUUUUCAGUAGCACCAGCAUUUUGAAUAAAUCUGCCUUGAUUUCUUUAUUUGGUUCA
rnacentral:lncRNA from 1 species